UCUCGACAAUGAGCUGUAGG
rnacentral:misc_RNA from 1 species